rnacentral:rRNA from 1 species
AGUGAGCGCGAUAAGGGCAUUCGGUGGAUGCCUUGGCACCAGGAGGCGACGAAGGACGUAGCACGCUGCGAAAAGUUGUGGGGAGCCGCGAGCAGGCAUUGAUCCGCAAAUAUCCGAAUGGGGCAACCCACCCAGCGAUGGGUAUCAUCAUCUGAAUACAUAGGGUGAUGAGGCGAACCCGGGGAACUGAAACAUCUCAGUACCUGGAGGAAAAGACAUCAAUUGAGAUUCCGCUAGUAGUGGCGAGCGAACGCGGAUCAGGCCAGUGGUCUUUGGAAGAGAAGCAGAACGAUCUGGAAAGGUCGGCCAUAGUGGGUGAUAGUCCCGUAUGCGUAGUGCUUUUAAAGAUCCUUGAGUAGGGCGGGGCACGUGAAACCCUGUCUGAACAUGGGGGGACCACCCUCCAAGCCUAAAUACUCCCUGGUGACCGAUAGUGAACAAGUACCGUGAGGGAAAGGUGAAAAGCACCCCGACGAGGGGAGUGAAAUAGACCUGAAACCGGAUGCCUACAAGCAGUCGGAGCCUCUUAUGGGGUGACGGCGUACCUUUUGUAUAAUGGGUCAGCGAGUUUCUGUUUGCAGCGAGCUUAAGCCGAUAGGUGUAGGCGUAGCGAAAGCGAGUCUGAAUAGGGCGUCGAGUUGCUGGCAGAAGACCCGAAACCGAGUGAUCUAGCCAUGGCCAGGCUGAAGGUGCGGUAACACGCACUGGAGGGCCGAACCCACGCCUGUUGAAAAAGUCGGGGAUGAGCUGUGGCUAGGGGUGAAAGGCCAAUCAAACUCGGA